AGGACAUCAGGGGUCUGUGCUCUUCUUCAAGUAAUGAGUUGGAGAAAAGGGGCUAGCGGAGAGUUCCACCUGAAUUUCCUGCCACCAUUUCAAGCUGUGGACUUGAAGAGCCUAUGACUUUGGUUAAUUGCCCUGUGGUCUGCUCUCUAUAAAUAGCAGCUUCUUCGUGGGUAACCCAGGGCUGCCUCUGAAAUUGCCAGACUUGGAAAUUACAUCAACCCAGUUCAAUAGGUACUUAUCGUGUAGCUCAAGAGAAGGGUGCUCUCAAACAGCUUAGAUGACAAGUAGGGAAGAACCCAGGAGUCUGGAGAGGUAGCUUAGAAGAAGGUUGGCCUUUGUGUUUUGAAGAUUUCUCUCUAAGAUCUAAGCACUGGACCCCAAAACAAAGGAUAAGUAGAACCCAGGUGCUAGGUGGGAAAAUAUAGGUCUAGAAAAGUGGAAUCCUUCUCAUUCCACACUGGUGAUUGAUUUGGUGAUUAGUCUAAUCCAAAUGUGGACUUGUGUUCCCUGGGCCGGUGACAGUUGUGGGUAGAGGCAUAUGACCCUGUAAGAAAUGAAAAUCGGGUGCAGGAAUGAGGGAAGGGGAGAAGGGGGAAGGUUUCUGGGAGAGGCUAAAACUGAUAAAAUGUUCCUCAAUCAUUGUUAUGUUUCAGAUAACAGAUACCACUUGAACAUUAAGCAGAAAAAGAUUUAAUUUAGGAAAUGAAGGGCUUAAAAAUUCAUGGAUGGGCUAGUAGAGCAGGUCCUAGGCUACGCCUCCAGCAGCAACCAGCGGAACACAGCAGAAAUGUCAGCUGGGGUGGCUGCUACUUGUGUCACAAGCAAGAAGCUGGGGGAAUCAGGAAGCCACCACAGUAAGUGUGGCUCCAGAACUACACCACUUUACCUACGUCCGGGGAUCAGGAAACUACCUCCAGGGCCAGAUCGUACCCACUUGAUCUGCCUGGGCAAAAAUGGAGGCUCUACUUCCUGCUUCUCUGCACUCAGGAAGCCAGUGACAGGGCACUGGGGCUUCUGCUGGUAGUGCAGCAAAAGCUCAGCGCCUGCAUGACCACGUUUGCCAGGAAACAGCAGAUGAAGCAGACCACAGCCUCUUAGAUUUCAAGAGGGUGUGUCCGAUGUGCACUCUUCCACAGGGGAGCAGCUCUGUUAGGACAACACUCCUGCCUCCCUCCGUCCCUUCACACACUCCUUCCCUGGGUGGGGGAGUGACACAUCUGACUGAACUGUUAAGAAAACUGCAAAAGAACUGCAGACUGCUGAAAUCACAGGACCCAAGACAAGGAGAGGAGGCAAAAGAAGCAAACAGAGGAGUUUCUCCAGAGCCGGGCAAGGCUGACCACGGACCACCUCCCCUCCGGCAGCCUGGCCGGAGUUGCCGAUUUCUUUUUGCCAUGUGGCCUGACCCAUCCCCUCACGCCGACUCCCCACGUCUCAGCAGUCCCCCGACCCCUUCCUGGGAUGCUAGUGUUCUCCAGGACCUCAACUCGUAAAGGGACUUCUUCAAGCUUGGGGCUGACCCCCACCUACAGACCCCUACCCCUGGCCUCCGCUCUGGGGUUGCUGGAAAGGAUGCUUUCAGACUGUGCCUCCACCAGCCCCCAGCUCUCAGGCUUAGGGCUGAGAUGAAAAGGGAAGGCUCCUGUUUCUGCGCUGAAAAAGAAAUGUAAAUCUCUCGCAGGCCACGUGCCAGAAGCUGCCAGGAGGCCAUUUCCCUGUUAGUAAACAGGGCUGCCUGGGCCAUCUUUCUCUUCUUUAAUAACCUGUGGGGCACCUAUUGAUUGCACAUGCUGGUCCCUCAUAAAUUAGAACAGAGAUGCCUUCCGGUUGCUCUGGAGCCGCGUGGAUGGAGAAAUUGGCUCACUAAUACUUCAUGCUCACAGAGCACAGCGUAUCGCACCACAUAAACAUGAAGAAUAUGUAUCAUCGGGCGCUGAGAACGCACGGGAAACAACUCUGUCAGCUGUGGAGGCUUCUAGGCACGCUGCAGAUUUUAAUUAGGCAGCUUCUCCCACCCAUACUGGAGGCCGACAGAAAUGCUGAUUGCGUGCCUCCUGCUGCAGAGGCUCUCCUUUCAGAUGGGCGGGAGCACAAGCUCUGGUGGGUAGGAGAUGGGCCUGCUCCCAUCUCUACUCCCUCACCAGGAUGAGAGCCAGCAAGUAGGAAAGGAAUGUUCAUAGGAAAGGAAUGUUCAUCUCUUGAGCUAUGGCGGAGAGAGCACCGAGUGAGAGUCAAAAGAAUCAAAUUAAAACACUUUUUAAACUCA